AGAUCAAUGAUGACACCCAAAGUACAUUCCUUGGAGCUGACCAAAAUGACGAGAACUCUAAACUGUCCUCGUCAUGACAGGUCC
ensembl:snoRNA SNORD116 Small nucleolar RNA SNORD116